rnacentral:rRNA from 1 species
CAGCCGCCGCGGUAAUACGAGGGGGGCAAGCGUUGUUCGGAAUUAUUGGGCGUAAAGGGCACGUAGGCGGUUUGACAAGUCUGAUGUGAAAUCUCUGGGCUCAACCCAGAGUCUGCAUCGGAAACUGUCGAGCUUGAGUAUGGGAGAGGUGAGUGGAAUUUCCGGUGUAGCGGUGAAAUGCGUAGAUAUCGGAAGGAACACCUGUGGCGAAAGCGGCUCACUGGACCAUUACUGACGCUGAGGCGCGAAAGCUAGGGGAGCAAACAGGAUUAGAUACCCGGGUAGUCCCUGUCUCUUAUAA